rnacentral:lncRNA from 1 species
GGAAACGCAGAGCGCGCGCUCCAGGUAAAGGCUGCUACGCCCAGGACAGGGUUCUCACGGUGGAGGAAAGGACUUCUGCGGGAUACCACGCUGUGCGCCAAAAAGCCGGGCGGCUUCGGAGCCAGAGCAGCGGCUCUGCGGCGCAGGCGGCGGGUCGGGGCAGCCUUGAAGCCGGGAUCCGGCCCGAAGGGGUCUUUUUGGAGUUCCUGAGCUCAGUGCCCCAGAAGGCACAUACUUCAUAUGAAAUAUGAAGGAUUUCAUACUGCACAAGAAAAAGCCUUGAGAAAGACAGAAUUGCUUGUGGACCGUGCGUGUUCCACCCCACCUGGGCCCCAGACCGUGCUGAUCCUUGAUGAGCUCUCGGAUUCCUUGUGCAGAGUGACCGACUUGUUUCGAAAUGACCAGGCUGGCAGUUGGCUGAGCCAGUCUCUUAGAACCCUUUGAAGCACUGGAUGCAGGCUGAUGAGCUGCCAUAAACGUCUUUGAGUCCCAACACUGCUCAGGAACUGCAUAUCAUACCAAAGUCUGCCUGUGUGAUCCUUUAAUUUGUGAAUGUAAAAACUGAGGUGGGAGGCAAAUACUGAUGUUCUCAAAGACCCGUCUCAGCUAUUCCAUUCAAACAGAGCCCAGAAUCUUCAAAAUUCUGCUUCUUCAGCUUACCUCCUGUCUCAGGCUGGUUCCCCAGAAGCAUCCCAGAGAUGCAGAUUUGUGAGAAAGUGAUGUGUUGGGCAGUGUCCCCUGCAGGGAAGUGAGGAUGCAAGACAGUGAGAAGGAAGCCAAGCAAGAGUGCAAUGUCAAGCAAGGUCCCGUGCUUGCAGGGCACUGGCUCCUCCCACAGAGGAGAUUUGGAGACUGAGAGCCCCUCCCUCCAUUGGUCAAGGGCCAUCUCAGAGGGAUGCAUGUUUCUAGGUAUCCCCCACUCUCUCUGCACACAGGUAAAGGAGACUCCAGAAGCAUGAGGGCAGCCCUCUCACAAAGAAGCAUGGGUUCUGGAUACCGAGAGUAAAAGCAAACGUGGAGCCAAGGGGUGUGAAAAUGGGAAAGGGACCCAAGGAAAUAGAGUAGUGCAUCCACCAUGAGUAAGUGCCACAGUCACUGGGUCAGCACCUGCUGUGUCCAACACCAUGCUAAGUAUCGUGGAGAGGAGAGAAGUUACUAGACUUCCCUGCUGUCAUCCUUAAUGGACUAUUGUCUCUUCCCUAGACACCUCAAACUGGGAUUUAAGGUACAUAAGCUCUCAGAAAUGGCUUCCUGGAAUUAUGGCCAUGAACAUCAGUGAACUGUUAGGGUCCGUAGUUACAUCUGGAAAAUGACUGCCGUUUCAAUACACAGGAUUAGUUACAAUAACAGCAACAGCCAUAAUAAUAAUGUGGCAGAGACUAGCUUGAUGCUCAUCACAUCUCUACCUGGGCACAUAGCAAAGUUUUCUAUUCCAGCUCCCACCCUGGAUCUCGGGUCCUAGUUCUCAACAACGAAAUGCUUCCAAGCCAAGUUAAAGCAGCCACAACUUUCAAACGAAAACCUAAAGAUCCUGUGUUGAAGACAGUGGCACCUUAAAAUGCAAGGGCAGUAUCCUUGAGUCCUCAGGUCACCAGAAAGCCACCCGAUCAGGACCAUCGACACUAGACUCUGUGUUAGUGAGAAACAAACUUGUGUUAAGCCAUCAUGAUUUUAAAGUUGUUAGCAGUCAGCUUGCUCCAAUAGGAUGAACACUAAUAAACAUAGCGGUAACAACCUGCUGGGUAGUAUCAUUAUUCUCACUUUGUUGGUGAGGAACUUGAGGCCCAAAAUGGUCAGAAAGUUAGCAGAUGGCAGAGCUGGUAUUUCAAGUCUAUUUUUUAAUCCCUAUCUUGCACUCCUUGGUCACGUAAACCUUGUGUGAAUAUGUUUGAUGCUUUAAUGGAGCAAAGAGGAGAAUAUUAAAAUACCAGGUUUCUUGGGUGGGAUGUGGAGUGAGGAGGAAGAACACAAAACGGAAAGGCUCCACGCAUCAGAAGCCAAGCUUUGGGCACUCCACAGUUUUGCUAAAGACUUCCCUGUCUGCUCACAUCUGGUCUGUUCCCCAGUAUCCUCACUGUAUUAAAGUUGUUUCUUUGUCAU